rnacentral:ncRNA from 2 species
UUAAAAACUUUAGCGCUACGCAUCAGCAGGGGAAGCCUGUUGGUUCACGAGGUAUCAGGUCGUCGAAAAUUCAGCGGAUGCCUGGUCGUAGAUACGGACUGCGUAAUAUAACUACAAAUAUGAUGGAGACGUCAAAACAAAAGGUUAUAAUCCGUAAAU